GAACCAGUCCCUUAACCUUUAGAGCAGUUCUUCCAGGUGAUUAUUCUUGACUGCUCUGUGAACUGAAGACAAGGACGAGAUUCAGAGAAACAGAGAGGUUGCAUCCAUUUCUCAGGGCCCAGACGGUGACACUAAGGAUGAAGACCUAGCUCUGUUAUCCUUCAGGCUUUAUACCCUUCCUGUACUGGUUCCAAUCCAUAGCAAGAAACCACCCUUGAACAGCAGGGGACACUCCUCAAGCAGGACUGGAUUAAUCCAUGGGAGCGAGCAGCUGAGCCGUGAGAAGCCAGAAAGCCUGAUGUGGUCCACCCCUUUCCCUGGAAUCACUCCUUUCCAUGUGGGCUGAAUGCCCACGUGCAGCUGUCUGAUCUCAGGAUUUCUAUCAUCCAGAGUAUUCUCUGGAAGCUCCAGCGGGGUUGGCCCAGCUCCUGGCUUCCUCUCCUGGCAACAGCCUCAGGUCUUUUUGAUGAAUUGAAUGAGAAGUGGAGCCCUCAGGUCCAGUCCUGAUCCUGCAGGUAAGCAGGUGCUUGCUCAUGAAGCUUACACAGAACUCAUGUGACCACGAAGCCAAGGUGGCCGAGAGAAGGCAGCUUCCUGGAAUCUCAGCCUUCCACCAGGCCAGGAGCCAGUCUGCUGCUUCUGUCUGCCUGUACCAAGCAUCUCCCUCAGAGGGAGGAGCCAUGGCCCCAGAAGAUGCUAAGCACUAAAGGAGGCCAUAUGCUUCUACCUUACCAGGUUUUCCGAUGCCCGUGGAGGUCAGAAGAGGGUACCGGACCAAUGGAAUUCAGGUGGCUGUGGUGAGCGCUGUGGGUUGUGAGAACUGAACCUGGGUCCUCUGUAAGAAGGACAAGAGCUCAUGACUGCUUAUCUUCUCUCUGGCCCCUCAUUUUACCUUCACGGGGUCUUGCGUGGCCCAGCCUCACCUCUGAGCUGCUGCUCAGAGAAGGUGGUGGAGAGACUUCAAAGAAUGAAACAAGAUGGCGUGACCCCGGGCCCUUUGAAACUGAGCCAGACCUGGAAUCCAGCCCCUGCCUGCUUUCUUCUGCACUGAAGAAUAAGGACCUUCUAAGCCUUGUGUAUCCGCUCUUCCUUAGCCUGGGAUCGGGGGUUCAAGACCAUUCUCGCCCACUACACAGCAUGUGUGGAGCUGGGCUGGUCACGUGAGAACCCUGCCUUAAUUAAUUAAUUAAUUAAUUAAUGAGUUU
rnacentral:lncRNA from 1 species